UAGGGAAUAUUGGACAAUGGGGGCAACCCUGAUCCAGCCAUGCCGCGUGAGUGAAGAAGGCCCUCGGGUUGUAAAGCUCUUUUGUCCGGAAAGAAAAGCUUCGGGUUAAUACCCCGGGGUUCUGACGGUACCGGAAGAAUAAGCACCGGCUAACUUCGUGCCAGCAGCCGCGGUAAUACGAAGGGUGCAAGCGUUACUCGGAAUUACUGGGCGUAAAGCGUGCGUAGGUGGUUGUUUAAGUCUGACGUGAAAGCCCUGGGCUCAACCUGGGAAUGGCAUUGGAAACUGGGCAGCUAGAGUGCGGUAGAGGGUAGUGGAAUUCCCGGUGUAGCAGUGAAAUGCGUAGAGAUCGGGAGGAACAUCUGUGGCGAAGGCGACUGCCUGGACCAGCACUGACACUGAGGCACGAAAGCGUGGGGAGCAAACA
rnacentral:rRNA from 1 species